rnacentral:rRNA from 1 species
UGGGGAAUUUUGGACAAUGGGCGAAAGCCUGAUCCAGCAAUGCCGCGUGCAGGAAGAAGGCCUUCGGGUUGUAAACUGCUUUUGUACGGAACGAAACGCCUCGCUUUAAUACAGUGGGGUAAUGACGGUACCGUAAGAAUAAGCACCGGCUAACUACGUGCCAGCAGCCGCGGUAAUACGUAGGGUGCGAGCGUUAAUCGGAAUUACUGGGCGUAAAGCGUGCGCAGGCGGUUAUAUAAGACAGUUGUGAAAUCCCCGGGCUCAACCUGGGAAUUGCAUCUGUGACUGUAUAGCUAGAGUACGGUAGAGGGGGAUGGAAUUCCGCGUGUAGCAGUGAAAUGCGUAGAUAUGCGGAGGAACACCGAUGGCGAAGGCAAUCCCCUGGACCUGUACUGACGCUCAUGCACGAAAGCGUGGGGAGCAAACA